rfam:Brassica napus, WGS project CCCW01000000 data, contig: 4053
CACCAUGAAAACCAGGAGAAGGAGCACCAGACUGUCCGGAAUAGGAAGAAGCAAAAGAUCUGCCUGAACCGUCUGGUA